AUUGAACGCUGGCGGCAGGCCUAACACAUGCAAGUCGAGCGGAUGAAGGGAGCUUGCUCCUGGAUUCAGCGGCGGACGGGUGAGUAAUGCCUAGGAAUCUGCCUGGUAGUGGGGGAUAACGUCCGGAAACGGGCGCUAAUACCGCAUACGUCCUGAGGGAGAAAGUGGGGGAUCUUCGGACCUCACGCUAUCAGAUGAGCCUAGGUCGGAUUAGCUAGUUGGUGGGGUAAAGGCCUACCAAGGCGACGAUCCGUAACGGGUCCGAGAGGAUGAUCAAUCACACUGGAACUGAGACACGGUCCAGACUCCUACGGGAGGCAGCAGUGGGGAAUAUUGGACAAUGGGCGAAAGCCUGAUCCAGCCAUGCCGCGUGUGUGAAGAAGGUCUUCGGAUUGUAAAGCACUUUAAGUUGGGAGGAAGGGCAGUAAGUUAAUACCUUGCUGUUUUGACGUUACCAACAGAAUAAGCACCGGCUAACUUCGUG
rnacentral:rRNA from 1 species